rnacentral:rRNA from 1 species
GAUGAGCGCUAGCGGCAGGCUUAAUACAUGCAAGUCGAGGGGCAUCAAGGUACACGAAAGUGUAUUGUUGGCGACCGGCGGACGGGUGAGUAAUAGGUAGGUAACCUACCUCAUACUGAGGCAUAGCUGGGAGAAAUUCCAGGUAAUUCCUCAUGAGGUUAUAUGACACAUGUGAUAUAAUCAAAGGUAUCGCAAGGUACUGGUAUGAGAUGGGCUUACUGACCAUUAGCUAGUUGGUGAGAUAAGAGCUCACCAAGGCGAAGAUGGUUAGGGGUUUUGAGAGAGAGAUCCCCCACAUUGGAACUGAGAUACGGUCCAGACUCCUACGGGAGGCAGCAGUAGGGAAUAUUGGGCAAUGGGCGGAAGCCUGACCCAGCCAUGCCGCGUGAAGGAAGACGGCCUUAUGGGUUGUAAACUUCUUUAACUAUGCGACUAACUAGAUUUACGAGAUAAUUCUAUAGAAUGUAGCAUAGCAAAAAGCACC